rnacentral:rRNA from 1 species
UGGGGAAUAUUGCACAAUGGGCGCAAGCCUGAUGCAGCCAUGCCGCGUGUAUGAAGAAGGCCUUCGGGUUGUAAAGUGCUUUCAGUCGGGAGGAAGGUGGUAAGGUUAAUAACCUUAUCAAUUGACGUUACCGACAGAAGAAGCACCGGCUAACUCCGUGCCAGCAGCCGCGGUAAUACGGAGGGUGCAAGCGUUAAUCGGAAUUACUGGGCGUAAAGCGCACGCAGGCGGUCUGUCAAGUCGGAUGUGAAAUCCCCGGGCUCAACCUGGGAACUGCAUUCGAAACUGGCAGGCUAGAGUCUUGUAGAGGGGGGUAGAAUUCCAGGUGUAGCGGUGAAAUGCGUAGAGAUCUGGAGGAAUACCGGUGGCGAAGGCGGCCCCCUGGACGAAGACUGACGCUCAGGUGCGAAAGCGUGGGGAGCAAACAGG